GACAGAGGAUGCAAGCGUUAUCCGGAAUGAUUGGGCGUAAAGCGUCUGUAGGUGGCUUUUCAAGUCCGCCGUCAAAUCCAAGGGCUCAACCCUGGACAGGCGGUGGAAACUGCCAAGCUGGAGUACGGUAGGGGCAGAGGGAAUUUCCGGUGGAGCGGUGAAAUGCGUAGAUAUCGGGAGGAACACCUGUGGCGAAAGCGGCUUACUAGACGACAACUGACGCUGAGGCGCGAAAGCUAGGGGAGCAAACAGG
rnacentral:rRNA from 1 species